rnacentral:misc_RNA from 1 species
CCUGAGGUUUUUCGGGCGAUCGGCGACGUGAAACGUCUCACCGGUCCUCGAGCCUCUAAAGUGGAACGCCAGCGGCCCGCCUGCUCAUGAAAGACGUAGUAAACACAUGAACCGUCCACGAAAGGGUUUGCAAAGGCUCGCCUCGAAUCUCUAUAUCAAGGUUUGACCUCAGAUCAGACAAGAAUACCCGCUGAACUUAA